rnacentral:rRNA from 1 species
UGGGGAAUUUUGGACAAUGGGCGCAAGCCUGAUCCAGCCAUGCCGCGUGAGUGAAGAAGGCCUUCGGGUUGUAAAGCUCUUUCGGCUGGGACGAAAAGGUCCGUGCUAACACCAUGGAUCGAUGACGGUACCAGCAGAAGAAGCACCGGCUAACUACGUGCCAGCAGCCGCGGUAAUACGUAGGGUGCAGGCGUUAAUCGGAAUUACUGGGCGUAAAGCGUGCGCAGGCGGUUUGCUAAGACAGGUGUGAAAUCCCCGGGCUUAACCUGGGAACUGCGCUUGUAACUGGCAAGCUUGAGUGUGGCAGAGGGGGUGGAAUUCCAGGUGUAGCAGUGAAAUGCGUAGAGAUCUGGAGGGACACCGAUGGCGAAGGCAGCCCCCUGGGCUAACACUGACGCUCAUGCACGAAAGCGUGGGGAGC